GUACUCCGGGGAUAACAGGCUGAUACCGCCCAAGAGUUCAUAUCGACGGCGGUGUUUGGCACCUCGAUGUCGGCUCAUCACAUCCUGGGGCUGAAGUAGGUCCCAAGGGUAUGGCUGUUCGCCAUUUAAAGUGGUACGCGAGCUGGGUUUAGAACGUCGUGAGACAGUUCGGUCCCUAUCUGCCGUGGGCGCUGGAGAACUGAGGGGGGCUGCUCCUAGUACGAGAGGACCGGAGUGGACGCAUCACUGGUGUUCGGGUUGUCAUGCCAAUGGCACUGCCCGGUAGCUAAAUGCGGAAGAGAUAAGUGCUGAAAGCAUCUAAGCACGAAACUUGCCCCGAGAUGAGUUCUCCCUGACCCUUUAAGGGUCCUGAAGGAACGUUGAAGACGACGACGUUGAUAGGCCGGGUGUGUAAGCGCAGCGAUGCGUUGAGCUAACCGGUACUAAUGAACCGUGAGG
rnacentral:rRNA from 2 species